CUUCCAUUGAAUGGAAUUAGCAUGUACCAUGACAAGGAGAAGGACCUCAAGUGAGUCCUUUGAACACAAUUUCAAGGGUGGAAGACCCGAGAACUUCUGGUUCUUCCAGGUUGUGAGCAUAGCUGUCUGCAGAGGCUUCCUUCUGCUCUCCCC